AUGGAGUUCCUGACCAGAGUGUUUGUGAAUGUGUUGUGUUUGUCUCCUGCAGCUGGUCCCACACUGAAGCCCUCAGUGUCUCUGCUGCCGCCCUCUUCUCUGCAGAUCUCUGGAGGUUCAGCCGCACUGCUCUGCCUGCUCAGCUCUUACUCUCCACAGGGGGCGCAGGUGAGCUGGACACUGGACGGCUCAGAGGUCACCGAGGGGGUUGUGACCAGCGCAGAGAGCGAGCAGAACGGCCGCUACAGCCGCAGUAGCGUCCUGACCCUCAGCAAAGCACGCUGGGAAGCGGGAGAGGAGUAUGUCUGCAAAGUAACACAUGCUGGAGCUCCUCAUGAGGCCUCGUUCCACAAGAGUCUCUGUUAGUCGCUCGCAGUGCUGAUGUUUCUCCAGCGAGCGCUGCUCUCUCCUGAAGAUGAGCCGUAUCUGAGUGUCCUGUGUCAGGCAGGAUUCACAUGAGUCUAGUGCUGCAGCUGUAGUCAUUUACAACUCAAUACUGAAAGAGAGCUCUAGUGUCGAAGCACUGGCUGAUCUUUCAAUCUGCUGUGUUUGCUGCAACAUUCAAUAAAGCUUCUCAACAAACUCCA